rnacentral:snRNA from 1 species
AUAUGGAGCUUGACUUGGAAAUACAGAACAUGUAAAAUGCAGGUUUCCCAGGGUGAGGUUCAUCCAUUGCACUCUGGGUGUCUUGACCCCUGCGAUUUCCCCAAAUGUGGGACUACAUAAUUUGUUGGCAUUCAAUAAGUAUUUUACUGCC